GAUGAACGCUGGCGGCGUGCCUAAUACAUGCAAGUCGAGCGAACAGACGAGGAGCUUGCUCCUUCGACGUUAGCGGCGGACGGGUGAGUAACACGUAGGUAACCUACCUAUAAGACUGGGAUAACUUCGGGAAACCGGAGCUAAUACCGGAUAAUAUUUCGAACCGCAUGGUUCGAUAGUGAAAGAUGGCUUUGCUAUCACUUAUAGAUGGACCUGCGCCGUAUUAGCUAGUUGGUAAGGUAACGGCUUACCAAGGCAACGAUGCGUAGCCGACCUGAGAGGGUGAUCGGCCACACUGGAACUGAGACACGGUCCAGACUCCUACGGGAGGCAGCAGUAGGGAAUCUUCCGCAAUGGGCGAACGCCUGACGGAGCAACGCCGCGUGAGUGAUGAAGGUCUUCGGAUCGUAAAACUCUGUUAUUAGGGAAGAACAAACGCGUAAGUAACUGUGCACGUCUUGACGGUACCUAAUCAGAAAGCCACGGCUAACUACGUG
rnacentral:rRNA from 1 species